GUGAAUUUACCGUCAAUAGAAA
rnacentral:rRNA from 1 species